GCCGGAGUAGCUCAGUUGGUUAGAGCGUCUGACUGUGGAUCAGAAGGUCAUGGGUUCGAGUCCCGUCUCCGGUA
rnacentral:tRNA from 1 species